UACGGAGGGUGCAAACGUUGCUCGGAAUCAUUGGGCGUAAAGCGCACGUAGGUGGCUUGUUAAGUCGGGUGUGAAAUCCCUGGGCUCAACCCAGGAAGUGCACUCGAAACUGGCGAGCUUGAGUACUGAAGAGGGUCGCGGAAUUCCCGGUGUAGAGGUGAAAUUCGUAGAUAUCGAGAGGAACACCGGUGGCGAAGGCGGCCUUCUGGACAGUGACUGACGCUGAGACGCGAAAGCGUGGGGAGCAAACAGG
rnacentral:rRNA from 1 species